rnacentral:rRNA from 1 species
AGCAGCCGCGGUAAUUCCAGCUCCAAUAGCGUAUAUUAAAGUUGUUGCAGUUAAAAAGCUCGUAGUUGAAUUUCGGGGUUAGUAGGUUGGUCAUGCCUCUGGUAUGUACUGGUCUCACUGAUUCCUCCUUCCUGAUGAACCUUAAUGCCAUUAAUUUGGUGUUUUGGGGAAUUUGGACUGUUACUUUGAAAAAAUUGAGUGUUUAAAGCAAGCUAACGCUUGAAUACAUUAGCAUGGAAUAAUGAAAUAGGACGCUCGAUCCUAUUUUGUUGGUUCUAGGAUUGACGUAAUGAUUAAUAGGGAUAGUUGGGGGCAUUAGUAUUCAAUUGUCAGAGGUGAAAUUCUUGGAUUUAUUGAAGACUAACUACUGCGAAAGCAUUUGCCAAGGAUGUUUCAUUAAUCAAGAACGAAGUUAGGGAUCGAAGACGAUCAGAUACCGUCGUAGUCUUAACCAUAAACUAUGCCGACUAGGGAUCGGAUGAUU